GUAUAUCACACCGAUUCCCGUACGUUCACCGACGUUAAGCAAUGUCGAGCCUGGUCUGUAAUUAGAUAGGUGACUGCUUGGGAAUAUAAGUUGCUGUAAG